GUUCGAUUCUGGCUCAGGAUGAACGCUAGCGGCAGGCUUAACACAUGCAAGUCGAGGGGCAGCGGGGAGUAGCAAUACUCUGCCGGCGACCGGCGAAAGGGUGCGUAACGCGUGAGCGACAUACCCGUGACUGGGGCAUAACCGAUGGAAACGUUGACUAAUUCCCCAUAACACAUCGUGCUGCAUGGCAUGGUGUUGAAAAUUUCGAUGGUCACGGAUUGGCUCGCGUCUGAUUAGCUAGUUGGUGGGGUAACGGCUCACCAAGGCGACGAUCAGUAGGGGUUCUGAGAGGAAGGUCCCCCACAAUGGAACUGAGACACGGUCCAUACUCCUACGGGAGGCAGCAGUGAGGAAUAUUGGUCAAUGGGCGGAAGCCUGAACCAGCCAUGCCGCGUGCAGGAUGACGGCCCUAUGGGUUGUAAACUGCUUUUGCUGUGGAGCAAUAAGGGUCACGCGCUGACCCGAUGAGAGUACACAGCGAAUAAGCAUCGGCUAACUCCGUGCCAGCAGCCGCGGUAAUACGGAGGAUGCGAGCGUUAUCCGGAUUUAUUGGGUUUAAAGGGUGCGUAGGCUGUGCGGUAAGUCAGAGGUGAAAGGUCCGCGCUCAACGCGGGAACUGCCUUUGAUACUGUCGUGCUGGAGUGCGGAUGCCGUUGGAGGAAUGAGUGGUGUAGCGGUGAAAUGCAUAGAUAUCACUCAGAACACCGAUUGCGAAGGCAUCUGACGAAUCCGCAACUGACGCUGAGGCACGAAAGCGUGGGGAUAGAACAGGAUUAGAUACCCUGGUAUUCCACGCUGUAAACGAUGAUGGCUAACCGCUGGCGAUAGAAUGUCAGUGGCCAAGCGAAAGCGAUAAGCCAUCCACCUGGGGAGUACGUCGGCAACGAUGAAACUCAAAGGAAUUGACGGGGGCCCGCACAAGCGGAGGAACAUGUGGUUUAAUUCGAUGAUACGCGAGGAACCUUACCCGGGCUCGAACGGCAGGGGAAUGGACCAGAGAUGGUCCAGUCUUCGGACUCCUGUCGAGGUGCUGCAUGGUUGUCGUCAGCUCGUGCCGUGAGGUGUCGGCUCAAGUGCCAUAACGAGCGCAACCCUUGUCACUAGUUACCAACAGUUCGGCUGGGGACUCUAGUGAGACUGCCACCGCAAGGUGUGAGGAGGGGGGGGAUGACGUCAAAUCAGCACGGCCCUUACGUCCGGGGCGACACACGUGUUACAAUGGCGGCCACAGAGGGAAGCUACCUGGUGACAGGAUGCGGAUCUCGAAAAGCCGUCUCAGUUCGGACUGGAGUCUGCAACCCGACUCCACGAAGUUGGAUUCGCUAGUAAUCGCGCAUCAGCCAUGGCGCGGUGAAUACGUUCCCGGGCCUUGUACACACCGCCCGUCAAGCCAUGGAAGCCGUGGGCGCCUGAAGUCCGUGACCGAGAGGAGCGGCCUAAGGCGAACGUGGUA
rnacentral:rRNA from 1 species